GACAGAGGGUGCAAACGUUGUUCGGAAUUACUGGGCGUAAAGCGCGUGUAGGCGGCAGGGUAUGUCGGAUGUGAAAUCCCGUGGCUCAACCACGGAAGUGCACCCGAAACUACCCAGCUUGAGUCUCGGAGAGGAAGGCGGAAUGCUUGGUGUAGAGGUGAAAUUCGUAGAUAUCAAGCGGAACACCGGGUGGCGAAGGCG
rnacentral:rRNA from 1 species